UACGGAGGGCGCGAGCGUUGUUCGGAAUCACUGGGCGUAAAGCGCGUGUAGGCGGCCGAGCAAGUCGGAUGUGAAAUCCCGAGGCUCAACCUCGGAACUGCAUUCGAAACUGCUCGGCUCGAGUCCCGGAGAGGAUCGCGGAAUUACCGGUGUAGGGGUGAAAUCCGUAGAUAUCGGGAGGAACACCAGUGGCGAAGGCGGCCAUCUGGCCGGUGACUGACGCUGAGGCGCGAAAGCGUGGGGAGCAAACAGG
rnacentral:rRNA from 1 species